GGAUCCAAGAUAAUUAACAGUUGCUGUUGAACCACACAUGUUCAUCAAUGCCUACAAGAAUGUCUUGGUUGUUGUAGCUGCCACAGAGUAUUCUUUCCCUCAGGCUAAUAAGGUGAAAGAGUAUUUGGUGGAUCCAAGCAAAUUUGUAGUUACUGCUACACC